rnacentral:rRNA from 1 species
GAUGAACGCUAGCGGCAGGCCUAAUACAUGCAAGUCGAACGGAUAUAUGUUUUUCGGAAUAUAUAUUAGUGGCGCACGGGUGAGUAACACGUACAUAACUUGCCCUCAAGCGGGGGAUAGCCUUGGGAAACUGAGAGUAAUACCCCAUAGAAUUAUUGGACGGCAUCGUUUGAUAAUUAAAACUACGGUGCUUGGGGAUAGAUGUGCGUCUGAUUAGCUAGUUGGUGAGGUAACUGCUCACCAAGGCGACGAUCAGUAGGGGGCGUGAGAGCGUGGCCCCCCACACGGGUACUGAGACACGGACCCGACUCCUACGGGAGGCAGCAGUAAGGAAUAUUGGUCAAUGGAGGGAACUCUGAACCAGCCAUGCCGCGUGAAGGAUGACGGCCCUCUGGGUUGUAAACUUCUUUUGGAUGGGGCGAAAAAACGGGNUUUAUCCUGGACUGACGGUACCAUCAGAAUAAGCACCGGCUAACUCCGUGCCAGCAGCCG